GCAGCAGCAAAAGAAGAAAAAGUUUUGGAAACAGAGUAAUAAUGGAUCAUCGAGA
rnacentral:tRNA from 1 species